CAACAAGGCAAUUGGGCCAAGGGGCCUUGAGGCCCACCAUGAAAUGCAGAUGAGGAUGAAGCCAACAUAUCCCAUUCACUUCAUAAUUCCCUCAUGUUCAAUUCUUUUUCCUUCAAACAAUUUCCUCACCUGAACCUUGGCUCCGCCGCAGUGGAAAUCCUCUCCGGUGGCAGCGGAGGUCCAAACCACAUCUAACCUAGCUCAAUCCAUUCGUCUACCCUCCCUCUUUCUCAUUCUCACACAAAUAUUCCUGAAUUCCUUACCACUAAUCUGAAUUGAAGCAAAGAAAAUAUGAACUCUAGAAACGAAAUUAGCAAUUAAAUGGGGAUUAUGAGGGAGAUGGAGUCCAAACCUUAGGGUUUUGGCUCAUUGGAAGCUAAGCUACAUCGUGGCAAUGCUAUUGAGGCAAAAAAUAAGGAGAAUUGAAGACCUACUUGCAAAUUGGAGCCGAUGAAGAUGAAGAAAAAAAGAAUACCAGAGGCAUGGCAUAGAUAAACUAAUGGCAAGGCAUAAGAUAACAUGUUCAAUAUUGACAAGGCAUGAAGGUUGACACAAAUGAAGAAAAUUAAUAUCAUGGAAGCACCUGGAGGCACAAGGAGAGAAGGCUUAUGAGGAUGAGGACCCAAUAGCCAUUUUUUAGGAUUUAGGAUAGUUAGUUGACUUUGGUCAACUAUUUUACCAAAAAGUCAACUAAAUAAAUUCAACUUUAAGUCAACAAUGUCUAUUUUUGUGUAGAAUUGGAUUUUGAACUUCUUGUAAUGGAACUUUGGGUGAUUUGAAAUGAAAUCGACCCUUGAAUUGUAGCA